CCUACGGGAGGCAGCAGUGAGGAAUAUUGGUCAAUGGGCGCGAGCCUGAACCAGCCACGUAGCGUGAAGGAUGACUGCCCUACGGGUUGUAAACUUCUUUUAUAAAGGCAUAAAGUGAGGCACGUGUGCCUUUUUGUAUGUCCUUUAUGACUAAGGAUCGGCUAACUCCGUGCCAGCAGCCGCGGUAAUACGGAGGAUCCGAGCUUUAUCCGGAUUUAUUGGGUUUAAAGGGAGCGUAGAUGGGUUGUUAAGUCAGUUGUGAAAGUUUGCGGCUCAACCGUAAAAUUGCAAUUGAUACUGGCAGCCGUGAGUACAGGUGAGGUAGGCGGAAUUCGUGGUGUAGCGGUGAAAUGCGUAGAUAUCACGAAGAACUCCGAUGGCGAAGGCAGCCUACUAAACUGCCACUGACAUUGAUGCUCGAAAGUGUGGGUAUCAAACAGGAUUAGAUACCCGUGUAGUC
rnacentral:rRNA from 1 species